rnacentral:rRNA from 1 species
GGCUCUGGGCGGUGGAUCACUCGGCUCGUGAGUCGAUGAAGGACGCAGCUAGCUGCGUGGUUUAGUGUGAGUUGCGGGACCCUUGAGCUCGUCGUCUGUGCGCGAUUUGCGGCCUCGGGU